GACGAACGCUGGCGGCGUGCUUAACACAUGCAAGUCGAACGGAAAGGCCCUGCUUUUGUGGGGUGCUCGAGUGGCGAACGGGUGAGUAACACGUGAGUAACCUGCCCUUGACUUUGGGAUAACUUCAGGAAACUGGGGCUAAUACCGGAUAGGAGCUCCUGCUGCAUGGUGGGGGUUGGAAAGUUUCGGCGGUUGGGGCUGGACUGGCGGCUUAUCAGCUUGUUGGUGGGGUAGUGGCUUACCAAGGCUUUGACGGGUAGCCGGCCUGAGAGGGUGACCGGCCACCAUGGGACUGCGGGACGGCCCAGACGCCUACGGGAGGCAGUAGUGGGGAAUAUUGCACAAUGGGGGGAAGCCUGAUGCAGCAACGCCGCGUGCGGAAUGACGGCCUUCGGGUUGUAAACCGCUUUGGCCUGUGACGAAGCGUGAGUGACGGUAAUGGGUAAAGAAGCACCGGCUAACUACGUG
rnacentral:rRNA from 1 species